GAAUAAUGAGACGAAAGCCACCGAUAUGGGAUACAAGGUGGAGGACUUCACGUUUUAUGCAAUUACGAGAUUCUCGUCUGCUUCAAGAUGUUUUUCAUGGGAACUGAACUUUCGUGCGUUUCUAAUGGUUUGCAUUGCCUGGCAGGAUCUGCAGGAGAAAACGGUGACAACCAAAGAUGUGCGGCGGUUAACAGGCACGUGCACUGUUGCUGCAGGUUGCACACAACUUUGUUCUUUUUAACAAGAAUGUGGGGGCAUAGAUGAAAGGCCGAGGACAACUUGAAAAGAUACAUGAAAGUGAACGCGAUGUGCAAUGGAACGACAAAGGAAGAUGUGUAGCCGUCUUCUGGAUUAUGGAGUAACGGGCUAUGUUCAGCUUUAUGACAAUAAGGACAUUGUGGGAAGCUGAACGGUGGGAGAUUUCCAGGAAUCUUGUGAGCCGUUUUCAUUGAUGGAUGCUGCCAUAAAUGUAGUGGAUCGUAGUUCGAUGGAUAAUAAGCUCAGUAUGGAUUUUGGUGGUAGCAGCAACGUGAGCAAGUCCAGACACUUCGGCAGCAACCGACCGAACAGAAGCUCAAUGCAGUACCCCAGGUGUUUAUGCCUCUAUAGAGUUUUUCUUUUGCUGCUAUGACCUGGGUACGCGUUGGGGGAUUGUGAUAGUGCAGCGACAAGAAAACUAUAUACGGCUAACUCGCCGGAACAUGAUCCACUUCCCUGAUGUCUUUGCUGAUGUCGUAUACGGUGACGUCGAUAGUAGCGUAGCCGAUACUGGUCUGUGACAAAUGGAGCCAUCAAACAAGAGCCAUUGGUUCAAUAUUUGUGUUUUGUACAGGUAAACUAAUGGGGAAGAGACAGUUUUUCACUACUUUUAUGCAUGGGGGUAGUAAGAAAUGAUUACAUUCCGUCAUUUCCUGUGGAAGAGCGACAGCAAUGUCGAAUACGCUGCGCACUAACAAAGACCUUUUUAUUUUCGUAAAGACUUUCGUCUUGAAGCAUCGCAUUUAUAGGGCUUUGAUGAGCAGAUAAAGCCGGCCGGAACGAAACUUACAAUUAAGUGCAUUUCAUUAUCGAGGUAAAGAAAUGAAAAUGUUUGUGCUGACUGUUCUCGAAUGGAGUGCAACACUCACGUUAAAAGCACGACUAAAUUCUAUUGACUCAAUGUAUUAAGAAAUAGGGAUUCCCCAAACGCCUCAUCAAGACCAACAAUAAGAGUAGAAUCUUAUUGGAUUGCUGUCGUCCAGCAACGGCCGUGCGGCAAUAUUUUAAGACUCUUCAGCGAGAAACAAAUGGAAUGUCAGACUUUAGGGACCCGUUGGGGCUAACGGAAGACAAGCACGUGCUGUAGGACAAGGUUUUGUCCGCAAUCGGCCAAAGUGCUACGUAGAAGAAAGGACUCGUGACGAAUAACAUCUCAUCGGUGUAGAAUGGCAGGGUACAAGAGCAUGGCGGAUUAGUCUCGACAAAAAGGAUAACAAGGAAAAGACGUUAAUAAUAACACGUUUGUUUUAGCUGAGCUCAAGCAAAUGCAGUCGUUUUCUCCACUGGGAAAGGAGGGAACAUGUUUUUACUCUACGCGUCUCCUCCAUUAUUUUCAUUCGUUGGCAGAGCUAACUCGCGUGUUAUCGGAAAAUCAGGCUCGUGAAAACAGCAGUUUAAAUCUUAACGAGGCCAUACCUGUUUAUUCGAAAGAAAACUUAAUAUUAGGUUGGCAUCGCUUUUCGCUCAACUUAUCAAGAGGACGUCGAUUGAACUCGCUCGGCUGUUUGCAUCCCUUUUGGAAAAUCCAUUGGCAUUGGAAUACGUCGUGGCCACCACUAGUUGGGUGAGUUAUAAAUGGAAACGUAAAACACUUGACAUUUUUGUAUUAUUGGCAAGCAGCGUGAUUCUUAACGCCUUUUUCGUGAAGCGUCUUAUACUACGUAGAUGGAUUGAAUUGACCGUCUUUGUAUUGAUCAUCUAGCUUCAGUAAAUUUUCGAGUCUAGCUGCGUCAGCUGUUAGCAAAAUAUACAGUGUGCUGAAAAUGUGUGAAAUUCAAUUGGUUUAACCAAAAGUGGUAGACUACGAGGUGAAUGAGGCAGUUCCAUCAAUCAUAUAAUAACGCCGGCGUCACAGUUUCUAUCCGGGCCAAUGAUCUUCGCAGACCAGUGCUGCACCCCAGCAGCUUCCGUAGCCAAUACGAAGCUUAAAAAAAAACUGCAUGUACAGUAUUUAUAUAACUCGUGUACUUCCCUGCCGUUUCUGAAUUGUCAGGAUGAAAAAAAAGGAAUCUUGUCCUUUUUAUUUUGUACGCUUCGGUUAACAACAUGAAAGCCAAUUAGUCAUCAAAAAUGGUUCAUCCUCGACAUGUUCGCAUUUUCUCUGCGUUUAUGGAAAAGUCCGUGUAGCUGCGGAGCUGUAUCAGCACUUUUGUAUACUACUUUAGCCAUUUGGCUGGUGAAAACAGAGUACGUUUCAGGAGCGUGUACUUUGUAACCAGCUAAUAAUAAACUGGGACGCAACUAACCAAGAGACAAAAGUUGUGUACAAAAAGAUGAUGUCUAUAGCGGACGUGAGAGAUGAGAUGAAGUUUGCCUGAGUUGCGGUGGGGUAGUGUAGAACGCAAAAAACAAGGUUGGAGGGACAACAAUGAGUAUCUAUGUACGAACGGAGGGAAGCCUUAACGAGAAAGGUCCUCUCGUAACGUUAUACGCGGAAUUGUGAAAGACGAGAUGACACGCGUUCAACCUGAGAAUUUGGAAUUGAGUCAAAGCGAGGAUUUCAGUAUCCAACCCGUCAGAUGCUGAACGUGAGCAUCGUGGCAUUUCCCCCUGGCCUAUACAUGUGUGUAUAUGGCAUAGAGCAGAAUGUAUUGAUUGGUGAUGUCGGCCAUAAGACCUUAAAGAGAACGACAAACAGAGGGGAACAGUGUUGUUUUGCAAUAUAAAGGAGCUGGUGACGUUGCGUGACGCUUCCGCAUCGCAACACCUCACGUGUUCUGCUGUGUAGGAUCGACGCUAAAAACUUGGCACUCACGAACCGACAAGCAUCGCAAAGUACCAACGCGCCUACGAGUACCCUCUUUCGAUGCGAUUGCAUGAUGCUCCUGUUUAGGUGCAGAUCUAUUUCUCGGUGUGGCCAGUGCUCCAACGCAAGGGGAGCGUUUUCCAAUUUAAAUGGGAUUUCGACUCUUUGGCCCAUUUAUUAAUACGUAAGUACUAUUCCAGACUAUGCUAUAGAA